rnacentral:rRNA from 1 species
AUUGAACGCUGGCGGCAUGCCUAACACAUGCAAGUCGAACGGUAACAGGUCUUCGGAUGCUGACGAGUGGCGAACGGGUGAGUAAUGCAUCGGAACGUGCCCAGUUGUGGGGGAUAACUGCUCGAAAGAGCAGCUAAUACCGCAUACGACCUGAGGGUGAAAGCGGGGGAUCGCAAGACCUCGCGCAAUUGGAGCGGCCGAUGUCAGAUUAGGUAGGUGGUGGGGUAAAGGCCUACCAAGCCGACGAUCUGUAGUUGGUCUGAGAGGACGACCAGCCACACUGGGACUGAGACACGGCCCAGAAUCCUACGGGAGGCAGCAGUGGGGAAUUUUGGACAAUGGGCGCAAGCCUGAUCCAGCAAUGCCGCGUGCAGGAAGAAGGCCUUCGGGUUGUAAACUGCUUUUGUCAGGGAAGAAAUCCUCUGGGUUAAUACCCCGGGGGGAUGACGGUACCUGAAGAAUAAGCACCGGCUAACUACGUGCCAGCCGCCGCCGUAAGAC